GCGUGCUUAACACAUGCAAGUCGAACGAAGCACUUUGGACAGAUUCUUCGGAUGAAGUUCUUAGUGACUGAGUGGCGGACGGGUGAGUAACGCGUGGGUAACCUGCCUCAUACAGGGGGAUAACAGUUAGAAAUGGCUGCUAAUACCACAUAAGCGCACGGUGCUGCAUGGUACAGUGUGAAAAACUCCGGUGGUAUGAGAUGGACCCGCGUUGGAUUAGCUAGUUGGCAGGGUAACGGCCUACCAAGGCGACGAUCCAUAGCCGGCCUGAGAGGGUGGACGGCCACAUUGGGACUGAGACACGGCCCAGACUCCUACGGGAGGCAGCAGUGGGGAAUAUUGCACAAUGGGGGAAACCCUGAUGCAGCGACGCCGCGUGAGCGAAGAAGUAUUUCGGUAUGUAAAGCUCUAUCAGCAGGGAAGAAAAUGACGGUACCUGACUAAGAAGCCCCGGCUAACUACGUGCCAGCAGCCGCGGUAAUACGUAGGGGGCAAGCGUUAUCCGGAUUUACUGGGUGUAAAGGGAGCGUAGACGGAAUGGCAAGUCUGAUGUGAAAGGCCGGGGCUCAACCCCGGGACUGCAUUGGAAACUGUCAAUCUAGAGUACCGGAGGGGUAAGUGGAAUUCCUAGUGUAGCGGUGAAAUGCGUAGAUAUUAGGAGGAACACCAGUGGCGAAGGCGGCUUACUGGACGGUAACUGACGUUGAGG
rnacentral:rRNA from 1 species